rnacentral:lncRNA from 1 species
AGCAGAUGUAACUCUUGUAAUUCCAGAGAAGACCAAGAUAACAAAGUCUAUAGAGUUCCCUAAGAACGAGGAACUGCAAAACCCAUUGGCUGAUUUAGAUUCUGGAUCAAAUCAUCCACUCAACCUAAAAUCUGAAGAGCAUGUGAAUGAGCAUUUAAAACUGCUGGAUGAUGAGGUCAGUCCAGCCGUGUUAAAGAGGAAAUCUGAGGAGCACAAUCUUCAAGAGAAAGUACCAAAACAGUUUGAAACCAUUGAGCUGCUGAUAUUAGAGGAUUCAGACUCCCAGGAGACAGAGCUGAACAAUUCUGAACCCAUAGGACCAAGAGCUGCACUGAGAAAAGAAACAAAAACGAGCAAAACUGAGCCUAUAGAACCAAAGACUAUAAAUGAUAGAAAAUCUAAAGAGAAUAAGCUUGAUCAUGAUGUUUACAGUAGACAUAGAAAGCAAACAUGUCACCCGACAGCUCUGAUUGAUGAGAAACCAGAAGGGGAACAUAUUUGUACAAAUCAGAUGAACAAGAACCUGCCAGAGGCAAAACCCAAGCUGGACUGUCUGGUUAGGAAGCAACCACAUCAAGCAUCAUACAGAAUUCCUAUUCAAGCGAGAGGAGGGUUAACUAAGUUACCCAUCAGCAAAGCAGACACUAGCAGUCGUUCAUUUGGGCUUCGAGCUCCUAAAGCUGGCAUGCAUAGACACCCAUUUGGAAAACCACUGGGGCAGAAUAAGCCUUGCAUUACAUCAUCUCCAACUCCUGAAAAAUUGUCCCCAGGAGGAGUUGCUUCAGUUAGGUCAACACAAAGACCCCCAUGCACAGUCCCUGCACCAAACGGUCCCACCUCUCCCUUAAAACUGCCACAGGUCCAGCUGAUUGCACCUAAGAUCGGGCAGUCAGACCAGCCAAACGUUUCCAGGAAACGUUCUGCAUCCUUAACAAAGUAUAGUUGCUCUUCUCCUGGAAAGUAAAGAAGCAGGCGACUAAAGGGUCUCCACCAAACAAGUAGAAUAAGGCAUCAGAUUGUUGUAUACUAAUUUCAUGAAUGCAAUGAUGUGCAAUAGAAAACAAAGGCCACUGGGUUAUUUUAGUAUUUUUACUGAACUUUUAUUGAACCACGUGAGUUGAUCUCACAUAAAACUAUGCUUUAUUUGUUCUAUUUAGCCAGCAGAAAGUUAAUACAGGAUUAACAUAGGAUUUUCCCAAUACACAUAAGUUUUUCUAACUUAUGAAUUUCAGGCAC